GACGAACGCUGGCGGCGUGCUUAACACAUGCAAGUCGAGCGGUAAGGCCCUUCGGGUACGACGAGCGGCGAACGGGUGAGUAACACGUGGGUGACCUGCCUCUAGCUCUGGGAUAAGCCUGGGAAACUGGGUCUAAUACCGGAUAUGACUCCACGGCGCAUGUUGUGGGGUGGAAAGCCUUGUGUGGCUAGAGAUGGGCCCGCGGCCUAUCAGCUUGUUGGUGGGGUGAUGGCCACCAAGGCGACGACGGUAGCCGGCCUGAGAGGGCGACCGGCCACACUGGGACUGAGACACGGCCCAGACUCCUACGGGAGGCAGCAGUGGGGAAUCUUGCGCAAUGGGCGAAAGCCUGACGCAGCGACGCCGCGUGAGGGAUGACCGGCC
rnacentral:rRNA from 1 species